GGAGGAGUGGCCGAGUGGUCGAAGGCGGCGGUCUUGAAAACCGCUAAUCCCUCGUGGAUUCGCGGGUUCGAAUCCUGCCUCCUCCGCCA
rnacentral:tRNA from 1 species